AGAGUUUGAUCAUGGCUCAGAUUGAACGCUGGCGGCAGGCCUAACACAUGCAAGUCGAACGGUAACAGGAAGCAGCUUGCUGCUUUGCUGACGAGUGGCGGACGGGUGAGUAAUGUCUGGGAAACUGCCUGAUGGAGGGGGAUAACUACUGGAAACGGUGGCUAAUACCGCAUAACGUCGCAAGACCAAAGAGGGGGACCUUCGGGCCUCUUGCCAUCAGAUGUGCCCAGAUGGGAUUAGCUUGUUGGUGAGGUAACGGCUCACCAAGGCGACGAUCCCUAGCUGGUCUGAGAGGAUGACCAGCCACACUGGAACUGAGACACGGUCCAGACUCCUACGGGAGGCAGCAGUGGGGAAUAUUGCACAAUGGGCGCAAGCCUGAUGCAGCCAUGCCGCGUGUAUGAAGAAGGCCUUCGGGUUGUAAAGUACUUUCAGCGGGGAGGAAGGUGUUGUGGUUAAUAACCACAGCAAUUGACGUUACCCGCAGAAGAAGCACCGGCUAACUCCGUGCCAGCAGCCGCGGUAAUACGGAGGGUGCAAGCGUUAAUCGGAAUUACUGGGCGUAAAGCGCACGCAGGCGGUCUGUCAAGUCGGAUGUGAAAUCCCCGGGCUCAACCUGGGAACUGCAUUCGAAACUGGCAGGCUUGAGUCUUGUAGAGGGGGGUAGAAUUCCAGGUGUAGCGGUGAAAUGCGUAGAGAUCUGGAGGAAUACCGGUGGCGAAGGCGGCCCCCUGGACAAAGACUGACGCUCAGGUGCGAAAGCGUGGGGAGCAAACAGGAUUAGAUACCCUGGUAGUCCACGCCGUAAACGAUGUCUACUUGGAGGUUGUGCCCUUGAGGCGUGGCUUCCGGAGCUAACGCGUUAAGUAGACCGCCUGGGGAGUACGGCCGCAAGGUUAAAACUCAAAUGAAUUGACGGGGGCCCGCACAAGCGGUGGAGCAUGUGGUUUAAUUCGAUGCAACGCGAAGAACCUUACCUGGUCUUGACAUCCACAGAAGAAUCCAGAGAUGGAUUUGUGCCUUCGGGAACUGUGAGACAGGUGCUGCAUGGCUGUCGUCAGCUCGUGUUGUGAAAUGUUGGGUUAAGUCCCGCAACGAGCGCAACCCUUAUCCUUUGUUGCCAGCGGUUAGGCCGGGAACUCAAAGGAGACUGCCAGUGAUAAACUGGAGGAAGGUGGGGAUGACGUCAAGUCAUCAUGGCCCUUACGACCAGGGCUACACACGUGCUACAAUGGCGCAUACAAAGAGAAGCGACCUCGCGAGAGCAAGCGGACCUCAUAAAGUGCGUCGUAGUCCGGAUUGGAGUCUGCAACUCGACUCCAUGAAGUCGGAAUCGCUAGUAAUCGUGGAUCAGAAUGCCACGGUGAAUACGUUCCCGGGCCUUGUACACACCGCCCGUCACACCAUGGGAGUGGGUUGCAAAAGAAGUAGGUAGCUUAACCUUCGGGAGGGCGCUUACCACUUUGUGAUUCAUGACUGGGGUGAAGUCGUAACAAGGUAACCGUAGGGGAACCUGCGGUUGGAUCACCU
rnacentral:rRNA from 2 species